AGUGAACGCUGGCGGUAGGCCUAACACAUGCAAGUCGAACGGCAGCACAGUAAGAGCUUGCUCUUACGGGUGGCGAGUGGCGGACGGGUGAGGAAUACAUCGGAAUCUACUUUUUCGUGGGGGAUAACGUAGGGAAACUUACGCUAAUACCGCAUACGACCUACGGGUGAAAGCAGGGGAUCUUCGGACCUUGCGCGAUUGAAUGAGCCGAUGUCGGAUUAGCUAGUUGGCGGGGUAAAGGCCCACCAAGGCGACGAUCCGUAGCUGGUCUGAGAGGAUGAUCAGCCACACUGGAACUUAGACACCGUCCCAACUCCUACGGGAGGCAGCAGUGUGGAAUAUUGGACAAUGGGGCCAAACCUUAUCCAGCCAUACCGCGUGGGUUAAGAAGGCCUUCCGGUUGUAAAACCCUUUUGUUGGGAAAGAAAAGCAUCAGGUUAAUACCCCGCUGUUCUGACGGUACCCAAAGAAUAAGCACCGGCUAACUUCGUG
rnacentral:rRNA from 1 species